AUUGAACGCUGGCGGCAGGCCUAACACAUGCAAGUCGAGCGGAUGAAGGGAGCUUGCUCCUGGAUUCAGCGGCGGACGGGUGAGUAAUGCCUAGGAAUCUGCCUGGUAGUGGGGGAUAACGUCCGGAAACGGGCGCUAAUACCGCAUACGUCCUGAGGGAGAAAGUGGGGGAUCUUCGGACCUCACGCUAUCAGAUGAGCCUAGGUCGGAUUAGCUAGUUGGUGGGGUAAAGGCCUACCAAGGCGACGAUCCGUAACUGGUCUGAGAGGAUGAUCAGUCACACUGGAACUGAGACACGGUCCAGACUCCUACGGGAGGCAGCAGUGGGGAAUAUUGGACAAUGGGCGAAAGCCUGAUCCAGCCAUGCCGCGUGUGUGAAGAAGGUCUUCGGAUUGUAAAGCACUUUAAGUUGGGAGGAAGGGCAGUAAGUUAAUACCUUGCUGUUUUGACGUUACCAACAGAAUAAGCACCGGCUAGCUUCGU
rnacentral:rRNA from 1 species